CCUCGGCUAAAGAUGCACCUUUACACGUCGCGGUGCUGUCACUGGCGGCGCUGAAAAACGUCCACUUGCAAUUCAUAUUAACCGGUGAUUGUGGCUUUUGGAAUAAGCCGACAGGUGAGGAUUUAUACAGAACACUGGCCACAGCUACUGGAGGCUCUGUAUACUUCACAAACAAGAACGGCAUCGCCACAGUUGUUGACAUAAUAAAGGAAUCGCUUACGCCUUCAGUCACUAUCGCCAAAUCAUCAAUAUCAGCAUCUGACGUGAAUGUCACAUUUCCCGUGGAUCAGACCAUUCUACAAGCAACAAUUAAGAUUGUAACUUUGGACAGAAAUACGCCCGUGUAUAUACUGUAUACAC